CCUACGGGUGGCUGCAGUGAGGAAUAUUGGUCAAUGGACGAGAGUCUGAACCAGCCAAGUAGCGUGAAGGAUGACGGCCCUAUGGGAUGUAAACAUCUUUUGUAUGGGAAUAAAACAGGGUAUGCAUACCCUCUUGUAUGUAACAUAUGAAUAAGGAUCGGCUAACUCAGUGCCAGCAGCCGCGGUAAUACGGAGGAGCCGAGGGUUAUCCGGUUUUAUUGGGUUUAAAGGGAGCGUAGGUGGAUUGUUAAGUCAGUUGUGAAGGUUUGCGGCGCAACCGUAAAAUUGCAGUUGAAACUGGCAGUCUUGAGUACAGUAUAGGUGGGCGGAAUUCGUGGUGUAGCGGUGAAAUGCUUAGAUAUCAC
rnacentral:rRNA from 1 species